GGAAGUAAAAGGUCGUAACAAGGUCUCCGUUGGUGAACCAGCGGAGGGAUCAUUACAGGACUCGCAAGACUCCUUCACCCUGUGAACCUCACUACAAGCACGUUGCUUCGGCGGGUGUCCCGGCGGGGGUUUUCCCUCGCCGGGGCGCACAGCCCGCCGGCAGCCUACUAUACUCUGUCUCUUUGCGUUGGCAUCUCGAGAAAAAACAAACAAGUUAAAACUUUCAACAACGGAUCUCUUGGUUCUG
rnacentral:misc_RNA from 1 species